UACAGAGGUGGCAAGCGUUGUUCGGAAUUACUGGGCGUAAAGGGCGCGUAGGCGGUCUUGUCAGUCCCUUGUGAAAUCCCCCGGCUCAACUGGGGAACUGCACGGGAAACAGCAGGGCUUGAGUUCGGGAGAGGGAAGCGGAAUUCCGGGUGUAGCGGUGAAAUGCGUAGAUAUUGGGAAGAACACCGGUGGCGAAGGCGGCGACCUGGUCCAUUACUGACGCUGAGGCGCGACAGCGUGGGGAGCAAACAGG
rnacentral:rRNA from 1 species